UGAACGCUAGCUACAGGCUUAACACAUGCAAGUCGAGGGGCAGCAUGGUCUUAGCUUGCUAAGGCCGAUGGCGACCGGCGCACGGGUGAGUAACACGUAUCCAACCUGCCGUCUACUCUUGGACAGCCUUCUGAAAGGAAGAUUAAUACAAGAUGGCAUCAUGAGUCCGCAUGUUCACAUGAUUAAAGGUAUUCCGGUAGACGAUGGGGAUGCGUUCCAUUAGAUAGUAGGCGGGGUAACGGCCCACCUAGUCUUCGAUGGAUAGGGGUUCUGAGAGGAAGGUCCCCCACAUUGGAACUGAGACACGGUCCAAACUCCUACGGGAGGCAGCAGUGAGGAAUAUUGGUCAAUGGGCGAGAGCCUGAACCAGCCAAGUAGCGUGAAGGAUGACUGCCCUAUGGGUUGUAAACUUCUUUUAUAAAGGAAUAAAGUCGGGUAUGCAUACCCGUUUGCAUGUACUUUAUGAAUAAGGAUCGGCUAACUCCGUGCCAGCAGCCGCGGUAAUACGGAGGAUCCGAGCGUUAUCCGGAUUUAUUGGGUUUAAAGGGAGCGUAGAUGGAUGUUUAAGUCAGUUGUGAAAGUUUGCGGCUCAACCGUAAAAUUGCAGUUGAUACUGGAUAUCUUGAGUGCAGUUGAGGCAGGCGGAAUUCGUGGUGUAGCGGUGAAAUGCUUAGAUAUCACGAAGAACUCCGAUUGCGAAGGCAGCCUGCUAAGCUGCAACUGACAUUGAGGCUCGAAAGUGUGGGUAUCAAACAGGAUUAGAUACCCUGGUAGUCCACACGGUAAACGAUGAAUACUCGCUGUUUGCGAUAUACGGCAAGCGGCCAAGCGAAAGCGUUAAGUAUUCCACCUGGGGAGUACGCCGGCAACGGUGAAACUCAAAGGAAUUGACGGGGGCCCGCACAAGCGGAGGAACAUGUGGUUUAAUUCGAUGAUACGCGAGGAACCUUACCCGGGCUUAAAUUGCAGAUGAAUUACGGUGAAAGCCGUAAGCCGCAAGGCAUCUGUGAAGGUGCUGCAUGGUUGUCGUCAGCUCGUGCCGUGAGGUGUCGGCUUAAGUGCCAUAACGAGCGCAACCCUUGUUGUCAGUUACUAACAGGUUCCGCUGAGGACUCUGACAAGACUGCCAUCGUAAGAUGUGAGGAAGGUGGGGAUGACGUCAAAUCAGCACGGCCCUUACGUCCGGGGCUACACACGUGUUACAAUGGGGGGUACAGAGGGCCGCUACCACGCGAGUGGAUGCCAAUCCCCAAAACCUCUCUCAGUUCGGACUGGAGUCUGCAACCCGACUCCACGAAGCUGGAUUCGCUAGUAAUCGCGCAUCAGCCACGGCGCGGUGAAUACGUUCCCGGGCCUUGUACACACCGCCCGUCAAGCCGUGGGAGCCGGGGGUACCUGAAGUGCGUAACCGCGAGGAGCGCCCUAGGGUAAAACUGGUGACUGGGGCUAAG
rnacentral:rRNA from 1 species